rnacentral:rRNA from 1 species
AGUGAACGCUGGCGGUAGGCCUAACACAUGCAAGUCGAACGGCCCGCAAGGGGAGCGGCAGACGGGUGAGUAACGCGUGGGAAUCUACCGUACCCUACGGAAUAGCUCCGGGAAACUGGAAUUAAUACCGUAUACGCUCUACGGGGGAAAGAUUUAUCGGGGUAUGAUGAGCCCGCGUUGGAUUAGCUAGUUGGUGGGGUAAAGGCCUACCAAGGCGACGAUCCAUAGCUGGUCUGAGAGGAUGAUCAGCCACAUUGGGACUGAGACACGGCCCAAACUCCUACGGGAGGCAGCAGUGGGGAAUAUUGGACAAUGGGCGCAAGCCUGAUCCAGCCAUGCCGCGUGAGUGAUGAAGGUCUUAGGAUUGUAAAGCUCUUUCACCGAUGAAGAUAAUGACGGUAGUCGGAGAAGAAGCCCCGGCUAACUUCGUGCCAGCCGCCGCGGUAA